UACAGAGGGUGCAAGCGUUGUUCGGAAUUACUGGGCGUAAAGGGCGCGUAGGCGGCCGCCUAAGUCAGACGUGAAAUCCCUCGGCUUAACCGGGGAACUGCGUCUGAUACUGGAUGGCUUGAGUUCGGGAGAGGGAUGCGGAAUUCCAGGUGUAGCGGUGAAAUGCGUAGAUAUCUGGAGGAACACCGGUGGCGAAGGCGGCAUCCUGGACCGACACUGACACUGAGGAGCGAAAGCCAGGGGAGCAAACGGG
rnacentral:rRNA from 1 species